GGGCCUGUAGCUCAAUGGUUAAAGCCGUCGGCUGAUGACCGACUGCUUGCGGGUCCUGCCGGGCCCACCA
rnacentral:tRNA from 1 species